CAGCAGCCGCGGUAAUUCCAGCUCCAGCAGCGUAUAUUUAUAUUGCUGCGUUUAAAAAGCUCGUAGUUGAAGCGUCAGACCCGGGAAGACGGACGGCCGCACUGGUCGACUCUCGUCCGACCGGGGCCAGGCGCAGAAGGCGGCCGUCGGUUGCACUUCGCCGUGUGACCGCGGCGCCGCUGCACGUUCACCUUGAAGAAAUUGAACCGCUCAGAGGAGGCGUGCAGCACGAACAGCUCAGCAUGGUAUGAUGGAACAUGGGCUCGUGCUCGUUUUGUUGGUUUACGAGAUGGCGAGCCAAUGAUUAACAGGGACUGCCGGGGGCAUUCGUACUCGCGGGGGAGAGGUGAAAUUCAAGGAUCCUGCGAAGACGACCUACUGCGAAAGCAUUUGCCAAGAAUGUUUUCAUUAAUCAAGAACGAAAGUCAGAGGUGCGAAGGCGAUCAGAUACCGCCGUAGUUCUGACCGUAAACGAUGCCGACUGGCAAUUGGGCGCACUUCUGCCGAAGUUGCCGCCAGCAGUAUACUCCCGGGAAACCAAAGUCAUUGGGCUCCGGGGGGAGUAUGGUUGCAAAGCUGAAACUUAAAGGAAUUGACGGAAGGGCACCACCAGGAGUGGAGCCUGCGGCUUAAUUUGACUCAACACGGG
rnacentral:rRNA from 1 species